rnacentral:rRNA from 2 species
AACGCGAAGAACCUUACCUAAGCUUGACAUCCUGGUGACCUCUCCCUAAUCGGAGAUUCCCCUUCGGAGACACCAGUGACAGGUGGUGCAUGGUUGCCGUCAGCUCGUGUCGUGAGAUGUUGGGUUAAGUCCCGCAACGAGCGCAACCCUUGUCUUUAGUUGCCAUCAUUAAGUUGGGCACUCUAGAGAGACUGCCAGGGAUAACCUGGAGGAAGGUGGGGAUGACGUCAAAUCAUCAUGCCCCUUAUGCUUAGGGCUACACACGUGCUACAAUGGGUGGUACAGAGGGCUGCUAAACCGUAAGGUCAUGCCAAUCCCUUAAAGCCAUUCUCAGUUCGGAUUGUGGGCUGAAACUCGCCCACAUGAAGCUGGAGUUACUAGUAAUCGCAGAUCAGAAUGCUGCGGUGAAUGCGUUCCCGGGUCUUGUACACACCG